GCAUCAAUGGGGUAGUGGUAACCUGGGUCGUUGCCAAGUUCGAACUCAAGUUCGACCCGCCGGGGGUUCGAUUCCCUCUUGAUGCA